UAAGAAAUUGCUCUAAAGUAGAAGACUGCCAGCAUUCAUAUGCUAAGUGUAUUCAUAAUCAAUGUCAAUGCCCUACACGUUUGGACAAAAAAUGCUAUGGCAAUGUUAAUGACGGGUGUAUCGACUCAUCUGAUUGCGUUGGUAUUCAGUUAGUGUGUCAAAAUAAUAAAUGUGUAUUGUCGAAUGAAACCACGGAAGGAAAAAAUUUGUGCAAUUAUAAAUUAGGAGCUUCAGUCUGUUGGGGUCCAGAAAGGAGCCGACAAUUUUCGGAAAUAUACUGCACGGUAUGGUCUAAAGGAUGCCUAUUUAAUUAUUGGUGGGCCAAUAAAAAAGAACCAGAAGCCGAACGUCGAUAUUUACAGGACAAUCCAAAGUUGGUGUGGAAAAAUAGUAGUACUGCCGAUAUAAGCAAAUCUGUACAUGCGGCAGUCUUUGAUUCUAUAAAAAUAUUCUGUCAGCCUGUUGACAAAUUUUCAUUCGUUGGAACAUCGCUACUCGAUUAUACAUAUUGUUACUACGAAGACACCAGUGGAAGGUCCUUUUUGACUAAAACAUUCAAUAUCUUAGUGUAUGAGGACUAAGUUAGUCACAACAUAUCAUCACUAUGAUC